CACCGGAGUAAGGUCUUCCCAAGGGCUCUCUGACAUCAAAGAUGAAACAUCUGCAAGGACACAUAAAGUGCUCCCGCUACGGCUGGUACCAGUCUGAGCCAGGCACCUGGAGGAGAAUCGAAGGGGGAUACAUGGCUUUUGUGUGCGAUGCAGCCGAGUGCUGGUGCCUCUCCCUGGCUGCAGAGGGGCUGGAUAGGGUGCUUCCUGCAAGCAGUUUGAUGCACUGCUCGGGAGCAUCAGGGAAGCAGAGCCUGCUUGCCUGGGCAAGGGUGGGGCACGGGGCUCAGAUCCUGGCCGGGUUUCCAUAGGGCACCCCAUGCCUGUCCUGCUUUUGGCUGCGAUAGAGUUAAUUUUCUUCUUGUAGCUGGUAUAGUGUUAUGUUUUGGAUUUAGUAGGAGAAGAAUGUUGAUAACAUACUGAUGUUUUCAGUGAGUAUAAACACGACUUAGCAACAAGUCAAGGAUUUUUCAGCUUCUCAUGCCCAACCAACCAGAAGGCUGGAGGGGCACAAGAAGUUGGGAGGGGACACAGCCAGGACAGCUGACCCAAACUGGCCAAAGGGAUAUUCCAUACCAUGUGAUGUCAUGCCCAGUAUAUAAACCUGGGGGGAGUUGGCCUGGGGAGAUUGCUGCUUGGAAACUAACUGGGCAUCGGUCAGCAAGUGGUGAGCAAUUGCAUUGUGCAUCACUUGUUUUGUAUAUUCCAAUUCUUGUAUUAUUAUUGUCAUUUUAUUACUAUUAUUGUUAUUAUCAUUAUUAUUAUUUUCUUCCUUUCUGUCCUAUUAAAGUGUCUUUAUCUCAA